CUAGGGUUAUUCUAUGUAAGAUUACGGCUUUGGGAGUUGUAGAACCACCCCCUUGGA
rnacentral:tRNA from 1 species